rnacentral:lncRNA from 1 species
CUAUAUCGGUGUAUGAUAUAGUAGGGAUCAUUUCCCGUUGUUUUGAGCAGUAUAGGUAUUAGUAGAGUGUGUUAAUACUGUGAUUGAAUUAUUUGGCAUGACAUGAUAUGAGUAUGUGAUAAAUAUGCCGAUGAUGUGUGAAAAUAUGCAUAAUGUUGUGAAUGUAUAUAUUAUGCAUGUAUUUGUGAAUGGACUGUUUUAUGGCUUAGAGUGUGAGCAUAUGUCC